rnacentral:lncRNA from 1 species
CUACACUGUGUCACUGGGUCCAGUCAAUAUUUUCUCGUUAACAAUAUAACAUAGAUACCUUGGCUUCUUGUUGUAACGUCAUGACUUCCAGCAUAUUCCUGAUGAAAUAAUUCCCCGCCAUUCCCUCGACAUUUUCAUUUGAUUUCAGCGCAAACUCUGAACGACAUGUUGGACAUGGAAAUGUUUCAAUAUUCUUUCCAUCACGGAGACCUUCAACAUACUUUUCUAAACACACUUUACAAAAAUUAUGAAAACACGGAAGACUUCUGGGCUGGUUUAACCUUUCCAUACAAAUUGGACACUCCAGUAACGCUUCAAGUUCAUCAACAGAAACAUUUCUUGAAGAAGCCAUUCUAAAAUCA